CCUACGGGUGGCUGCAGUGGGGAAUAUUGGACAAUGGGCGAAAGCCUGAUCCAGCCAUGCGGCGUGUGUGAAGAAGGCCUUCGGGUUGUAAAGCACUUUCAGUGGGGAAGAAAGCCUUGGGGCUAAUACCCUCGAGGAAGGACAUCACCCACAGAAGAAGCACCGGCUAACUCCGUGCCAGCAGCCGCGGUAAUACGGAGGGUGCGAGCGUUAAUCGGAAUUACUGGGCGUAAAGCGCGCGUAGGCGGUCUGAUAAGCCGGUUGUGAAAGCCCCGGGCUCAACCUGGGAACGGCAUCCGGAACUGUCAGGCUAGAGUGCAGGAGAGGAAGGUAGAAUUCCCGGUGUAGCGGUGAAAUGCGUAGAGAUCGGGAGGAAUACCAGUGGCGAAGGCGGCCUUCUGGACUGACACUGACGCUGAGGUGCGAAAGCGUGGGUAGCAAACAGGAUUAGAUACCCUGGUAGUC
rnacentral:rRNA from 1 species